rnacentral:rRNA from 1 species
CCUACGGGUGGCAGCAGUGGGGAAUAUUGCACAAUGGGCGCAAGCCUGAUGCAGCCAUGCCGCGUGUAUGAAGAAGGCCUUCGGGUUGUAAAGUACUUUCAGUCGUGAGGAAGGUGUUAAGGUUAAUAACCUUAGCAAUUGACGUUAGCGACAGAAGAAGCACCGGCUAACUCCGCGCCAGCAGCUGCGGUAAUACGGAGGGUGCGAGCGUUAACCGGAAUUACUGGGCGUAAAGGGCACGCAGGCGGUUAAUUAAGUUGAAUGUGAAAUCCACGGGCUUAACCUGGGAAUGGCAAUCAAGACUGGUUAGCUAGAGUCUUGUAGAGGGGAGUAGAAUUCCAUGUGUAGCGGUGAAAUGCGUAGAGAAGUGGAGGAAUACCGGUAGCGAAGGCGGCCCCCUGGACAAAGACUGACACUCAUGUGAGAAAGCAUGGGAAGCAAACAGGAUUAGAUACCCUAGUAGUC